AAUAAGCUAAAUAAGAGCGUAUGGGGAACGCCUAGGCUCUCAGAGGCGAUGAAGGACGUGAUAAGCUGCGAAAAGCUGCGGGGAUUGGCACAUACAAAUUGAUCCGCAGAUAUCCGAAUGGGGCAACCCAGCAUGUUGAAGACAUGUUAUCCGUAAGGAGGCGAACCCGGAGAACUGAAACAUCUAAGUACCCGGAGGAGAAGAAAACAAAAGUGAUUCCGAUAGUAGCGGCGAGCGAACUUGGAAUAGCCCAAACCAGUAUUGUUACGGCAAUACUGGGGUUGUAGGACUGCGAUAUUUGAGCUAUAAUGAAUUAGAACUGUUUGGAAAGACAGGCCAUAGAAAGUGAUAGCCCUGUAUAAGUAAAGAUUAGUAAUAUAGCAGUAUCCUGAGUAGUGCGGGGCACGUGAAACCCUGUAUGAAUUUGUCGGGACCAUCC
rnacentral:rRNA from 1 species